CCUGCUCCUGUUCCCCGUCUGUAUUUCCUGUCUGGGCAAUGCGAAGGGAACCUGCCCCUUCCUUCAGGAUCCUCUUUCAGUACACACUUAGCAGAGGACAGUCGGGGUUUCCCAACUGCGACACUACUGACGGUGCUGUCUGCCCCCAUGUUCCCAGAUCAACCACAGUUCCAGGGAGGGAGAGUCAGAGCCUUUCUGUGAACUAUGGGGAAAUGGCUGACCACUCCGCCUCUGGAUGGAUAGAUACAUGGACAGCUGGUUUAAGUUUUGACAAAGAAAAACCCCUCCUGGAACCUCAGUCUGGAAUACAACUGUAGAACCAAUUAAGACUGGAGUAGGAAGCUGGAAAGAAGACGUGGGACAGCCAACCCACUGGACAGGGCAAGAGGCCACUUCUGGGGGAGAGUGGAC
rnacentral:lncRNA from 1 species